rnacentral:rRNA from 1 species
CUCGUAGGCGGUUCGUCGCGUCCGGUGUGAAAGUCCAUCGCUUAACGGUGGAUCCGCGCCGGGUACGGGCGGGCUUGAGUGCGGUAGGGGAGACUGGAAUUCCCGGUGUAACGGUGGAAUGUGUAGAUAUCGGGAAGAACACCAAUGGCGAAGGCAGGUCUCUGGGCCGUUACUGACGCUGAGGAGCGAGAGCGUGGGGAGCGAACA